rnacentral:rRNA from 1 species
UGAAGAUGGGGAUAACCUGCCGAAAGGCGGGCUAAUACUGAAUGUGGCUUUCCCGGGCAUCCGGGAAGGACUGAAGACGGGGAUUCUUCGGAACCUGUCACUUCAGGAGGGGCCCGCGUCCCAUCAGCUUGUUGGUGAGGUAACGGCCCACCAAGGCUUACGGGUAGCUGGUCUGAGAGGAUGGUCAGCCACACUGGGACUGAGACACUGCCCAGACUCCUACGGGAGGCUGCAGUCGAGGAUUAUUUGCAAUGGGCGAAAGCCUGACAGUGCGACGCUGCGUGGAGGAUGAAGGCCUUCGGGUUGUAAACUCCUGUCAUUCGGGAACAAGAGCGGGGGGGGUGAAUAAUCCCUCUGAUUGAUGGUACCGGAAGAGGAAGCCACGGCUAACUCUGUGCCAGCAGCCGCGGUAAUACAGAGGUGGCGAGCGUUGUUCGGAUUUACUGGGCGUAAAGGGUGCGUAGGUGGUUCUGUGUGUCGGAUGUGAAAUCCCACUGCUCAACGGUGGAACUGCAUUCGAAACUGCAGGGCUAGAGUGCGGGGGAGGAGAGCGGAAUUCUAGGUGUAGCGGUGAAAUGCGUUGAUAUCUAGAAGAACACCGGUGGCGAAGGCGGCUCUCUGGAACGUAACUGACACUGAGGCACGAAAGCUGGGGGAGCAAACAGGAUUAGAUACCCUGGUAGUCUCAGCCCAAAACGGUGUACAUUUGUUGUUGGCGGAUUUGACCCCGCCAGUGACGGAGCUAACGCGUUAAAUGUACCGCCUGGGGAGUACGGCCGCAAGGUUAAAACUCAAAGAAAUUGACGGGGGCCCGCACAAGCGGAGGAGCAUGUGGCUUAAUUCGAUGCAACGCGAAGAACCUUACCUGGGCUUGACAUGCAGCUGCAGUCCCGAUGAAAGUCGGGAGGCCUUCGAGGGUGCUGCACAGGUGCUGCAUGGCUGUCGUCAGUUCGUGCCGUGAGGUGUUUGGUUAAGUCCAGCAACGAACGCAACCCCUGUGUUUAGUUGCCACCCCCGACGAUGAGUCGGGGAGCACUCUAGACAGACUGCCCGUGUAAGCGGGAGGAAGGUGGGGAUGACGUCAAGUCAGUAUGGCCCUUACGCCCAGGGCUGCACACGUGCUACAAUGGGAACUACAGAAGGAUGCGAGACCGCGAGGUGGAGCAAAUCCUCAAAAGUUCCCUCAGUUCUGAUUGAAGUCUGCAACUCGACUUCAU